GACGAACGCUGGCGGCGUGCCUAAUACAUGCAAGUAGAACGCUGAAGGAGGAGCUUGCUUCUCCGGAUGAGUUGCGAACGGGUGAGUAACGCGUAGGUAACCUGCCUGGUAGCGGGGGAUAACUAUUGGAAACGAUAGCUAAUACCGCAUAAGAGUAGAUGUUGCAUGACAUUUGCUUAAAAGGUGCAAUUGCAUCACUACCAGAUGGACCUGCGUUGUAUUAGCUAGUUGGUGGGGUAACGGCUCACCAAGGCGACGAUACAUAGCCGACCUGAGAGGGUGAUCGGCCACACUGGGACUGAGACACGGCCCAGACUCCUACGGGAGGCAACAGUAGGGAAUCUUCGGCAAUGGACGGAAGUCUGACCGAGCAACGCCGCGUGAGUGAAGAAGGUUUUCGGAUCGUAAAGCUCUGUUGUAAGAGAAGAACGAGUGUGAGAGUAGAAAGUUCACACUGUGACGGUAUCUUACCAGAAAGGGACGGCUAACUACGUGC
rnacentral:rRNA from 1 species